rfam:Triticum aestivum genome assembly, contig: Triticum_aestivum_CS42_TGACv1_scaffold_146193_2BS
CUACUACUCCCUCUGUCCGAAAAUACUUGUCAUUGAAAUGGAUGUAUCUAGAUGUAUUUUAGUUCUAGACACAUCCAUUUUGAUGACAACUUGACAAGUAAUUCCGGAUGGAGGGAGUAUUAU